rnacentral:lncRNA from 1 species
CAGGGUUACACCUUUGGAGAGGGAACUUCUCAAAGACCUUCAGAAUAAAAACCCAAAACAUGAAGACCACUGCAGAGGAAAGUAAUCAUAGAGCUGCAGACAUAGAGCUGCAGACAUAGAGCUGCAGUUAUAGAGCUGCAGACAGCAGUCAUAGAGCUGCAGACAUACAGCUGCAGUCAUAGAGCUGCAGACAUAGAGCUGCAGUCAUAGAGCUGCAGUUAUAGAGCUGCAGACAGCAGUCAUAGAGCUGCAGACAUACAGCUGCAGUCAUAGAGCUGCAGACAUAGAGCUGCAGUCAUAGAGUUGCAGAGAGCGGUCAUAGAGCUGUAGACAUAGAGCUGCAGACAUAGAGCUGCAGUCAUAGAGCUGCAGUCAUAGAGCUGCAGACAUAGAGCUGCAGUCAUAGAGCUGCAGAGAGCGGUCAUAGAGCUGCAGACAUAGAGCUGCAGUCAUAGAGCUGCAGUUAUAGAGCUGCAGACAUAGAGCUGCAGUCACAGAGCUGCAGACAUAGAGCUGCAGACAUAGAGCUGCAGAGAGCAGUCAUAGAGCUGCAGACAUAGAGCUGCAGUCACAGAGCUGCAGUCACAGAGCUGCAGACUCAGAACUCUAGAUCCAGAUUGGGUGUUUUGAGCUCAGAGUUCUGACGGAGGUUCUGGUGGACUUUGAUUCAGACUCACAGACACUCAAAGCUUCACGCUCUGAGGAAGAACAGAGUAAUUAACUCUGACUGAAACGAAUCCUCGGCUCUGAUGAAGGACAUGAUUUAUUGGCUGACGAUGAAAUGAGCCCAGGAGCCUCUGGGGGCGCUGUUGAUGUUCUUUUAUUUUCUGCUGCUUUUUAAUGACCAACACAGAUUGAUUUUAUUCAUCAGAUCAUGUGAUUAUAAUCUGUAUAAUAAUAAGAUAAUAAAUAAUAAUAAUAAUUAUUAUUAUUAUUUAUUAUUUUUUUAUUAUUAUUAUUAUUGUCUGUGGAGAGCAGCUCCUGUUUCUGUGUUUACACUCUUCAUAUGGUUACUCUGGAUCUCAGCAGGUUCGGUUCUGUUCGGUUCUGAUCCGCUCUGUCUCUUCUUUUUUCUCUGUCAAUGCUCACAGAGACGUUAAAAGAUACCGGGACAUGAGUGUUGUCGGGCUGGACCCGGGGGAGACUGAGGAGGAUCCACUGUUAUGUUUGCUAAUAAAAAGACAAUUAAAAGGGCUUUUAUUUUGAAAGUUUUCUCAGUUCAGCUCUGAGAAGAACCGCUCAGUGUCAGGCUGCUGAAACAAAGACUUCAGUUAUUCUGGACGGGCUGAAAGGAAGAGAGGGAUGAAGAGAGGGAUGAAGAGAGGGAUGAAGAGAGGGAUGGAGAGAAGGAUGAAGAGAAGGAUGAAGAGAAGGAUGGAGAGAGGGAUGAAGAGAGGGAUGAAGAGAAGGAUGAAGAGAGGGAUGAAGAGAAGGAUGAAGAGAAGGAUGAAGAGAAGGAUGGAGAGAGGGAUGAAGAGAGGGAUGACUGAACGAACGAGUGAGAGUGAGAGGGAAACAAGAGAGAGGAGAAAACGAGAAGAGUGCUAAUGAGAGGGAGACACAAUUACACAACAAACCCCUCCCCCCCCGUCUCUCGCUCUAACGGCUCUACGGCGUUUUUCUCUGAUCAGGAAACUUUUGUAGUUUUCUUCUCUAUAAUUAUCGAUCCGUUAUUCGACGUUAGAAUCUGUUUUUUCUUCUGAAGAGACGGACGUUAGGAGACAAAACAGGAAAACUCUGAAGGAACUAAAAACCAGUUUGAAGGACUGUUCCACUACAACACUGUCCUCCAUCUCUAUGUUAUCCACCAACAGAUAAAACAAGAUCCAAACAAGAUCCAAACAAGAUCUGCCGUCCACCCUCUGGGACUCUACUGUUGGUUCUUCAUGAAUGAAAGAUCUGACCAAGGUUUUAGAGCGGAGGGUCCGCAGAGUCAGGCAGUCACCCUAAAGACAGGCUUCAGAUCCUGACCUAACCCUUGACUUAUCCUGCUCUAAUCCUGCUCUAAUCCUGCUCUCUGUCAACUUCUAGAGCUAAAGAUCUUGUUCACACACACCAACAAUCAGCCGUCCACCAAAGUUUUGUUCCAGAUUAAAUCUAGAUCUGGACAUUUGGACCCGAGUCUCGGUUUAACGACAGAAAAAGUCCGACCCCGCUGAUAUUCCUCACUAUUUGCCUGAUGAUUAGAUUCAUGACCCGAUCCGUUUUCCCCCCAUGAUCCAGUCCUGAGUUUAGGUCCAGCAGAGGGACAAUGGGGUUCAUUGAAAGUUGAGUCUGCAGAUCCAUGAAUGUGUUUCUGUGGACCAACAACAGGAACGUUAUCAGGAACCAGCAGCAGCCAGACGCUGGUUCAGGCGAGCCGACAGAUAAGAGCAGCUAACCCCCGACACAAAGCUACCACCAUCAGAACAACAAAACACACACACACAGGGACACACAGGGACACACAGGGACACACACAGGGACACACACAGGGACACACACACACAGGGACACACACAGGGACACACAGGGAGGACCCCACAGCCGAGCGAGUGGGUGAGCUUUUCAAACUGCUGACGACCUUCACUGUUUUGAUGACGCAGAGGAAGUCACCAGGAAAUACAACAUGUAGAAUCCUCAGAGAGUGUGUGUGUGUGUGUGUGUGUGUGUGUGUGUGUGUGUGUGUGUGACGGGGGGGCUUUGUUCUGAUGGUAUGCUGUGUGUCAGUCAUCCUGCAGUAACAAUAAUUCACGGCCCCAACAGUCACACGGGGCGACCCCGGCUCUGACCUCGCCGCCAUGCAAAGAAAACAACGCGGCUCCACGGCAGAGAAACGCAGACGCCAACAACCAGAGAGCGUUGGAGCGAAUCAUCAGGACGCUCUGAUUCAGGACAGAGAGGCGAAGGUUUUUAUCAUCAUCAGUAAAGACCAAUCAGUGACUUUAAUUAGAGAGGGCGGAGCUACGACUCAUUAUAACAGUUCGAACUGUGAUUAUUAUUAUCUCUGAUAUCAUUAUUGAUAUUAUAUUCUAUUAUUUAUUUUAGUUUAUUUUAGUUUAUUUCAGUUUAUUUUAGUUUAUUUCAGUUUAUUUUAGUUUAUUUUAGUUUAUUUUAGUUUAUUUUAGUUUAUUUUAGUUUAUUUCAGUUUAUUUUAGUUUAUUUUAGUUUAUUUUAGUUUAUUUCAGUUUAUUUUAGUUUAUUUUAGUUUAUUUUAGUUUAUUUUAGUUUAUUUCAGUUUAUUUUAGUUUAUUUUAGUUUAUUUUAGUUUAUUUUAGAUUAUUUCAGUUUAUUUUAGUUUAUUUUAGUUUAUUUCAGUUUAUUUUAGUUUAUUUUAGUUUAUUUCAGUUUAUUUUAGUUUAUUUUAGUUUAUUUUAGUUUAUUUUCGUUGUUAAAUUACCCAAUGAUUUGAUUAUUUAGUAUCAGAGUCUAAGAGACUCGACUCUUCGCUGUCCCGUCCUGACGGCGCCGACAGACUCAGAGUUACAUAAGAAGAGCCGGAGGCUUCUGUAGGAUCAUCUACAUCCAACAUGACACGUGUGUGUGUGUGUGUGUGUGUGUGUGUGUGUGUGUGUGUGUGUGUGUGUGUGUGUGUGUGUGUGUCUGAGCCGGGUCCAGUUCUCAUCUGUGGUCUGAAAAAAAGGACCAGGAAAAGAGACUCUGAGGGCGGGGCCACAGGAAGACCAGGACUCACGGGUCACUCAUGUUUACCAUGAAAAUGUCGGCGAUAAAAAGGUGAGAGAGUGAACAGAUUAACGCCGAAGGGACGAGAGAGAGAUUAGAGAGGUCAGAGGUCAGAGCGGAGCCGAGAGCGACCAUGGAGAAAAAACGUCUUAUAUAAGAGCCUGUACAACAAAGGGACACACACACACACACACACACACACACACACACACACACACACACACACACACACACGUGCACACUCACACAGGUUUCACUUUCAGCUGAGAGGUUUCAUUCACAGAUGCUGUGAGCCUCUGAUUACCCAUCAUGCAGCUGAAGCGGCGGGUUAAUGCGACCCUCUCAGGGCUAUAAACCACAGGUGUGUGUGUGUGUGUGUGUGUGUGUGUGUGUGUGUGUGUUUGUGUGUGUGUUUGUGUGUGUGUGUGUGUGUGUGUGUGUGUGUGUGUGUUUGUGUGUGUGUGUGUGUGUGUGUGGGGGGGGCGUCUUCAUUCACAAAAACAAUUUUUUUCAGAAACAAAAUUAAAUCCUCAAAAAUCACGAACGGACUCAGACUCCCAGAAUCCCCUGCAGAAGUCUGACAUCACAGCAGCGAAUGGCUCUGUCAGCAGUUCUUCUGCCUCCAUCACCACGGGUGGAGAUAAGCAGACUUUAGCAGGUUACUAACAGACCUUCUUCAGACAACCGACAAACAGCUGAUCCAGAGGAGGAGUCUGACAGUGAGGAGGUGGACAUGUUCUCCAACCUUCAGAGAACCUUCAGAGUCCACCAACAGAGAGGAAACAGAGCUCCUUCUGACCUUUAGAGAUCCUCCUCUGAGACCUGCUCCUCCUCUGAGACCUGCUCCUCCUCUGAGACCUGCUCCUCCUCUGAGACCUGCUCCUCCUCUGAGACCUGCUCCUCCAGGUGUCUCACAGUGUUCAGAAAGCAGCCCACUCAGUCAGAGCCGGGCUCUAAGGACCGGGCUCUCAGGACCGGGCUCUGAGGACCGGGCUCUGAGGACCGGGCUCUCAGGACCGGGCUCUGAGGACCGGGCUCUAAGGACCAGGCUCUCAGGACUGGGAACAGAGUGAAGAUCUCCUCAGUGAACUCACAGGUUCUCCUGUUAGAAUCAGACCUUCUCAGUCUGAGCAGACCU